UACACCCACUCCCUGAUGUUUUCCUUGGGAGCCAGAAGUGUGUGUGCAGCGUUUUUUGGGGCAGUGGUGAGCAGAAGUGGAGUGUGUGCUGUGAGAGAUUUUCUGCUGCACACCUGUUGCUGUAGGACACAAAAUAACACGACGUGGACACGCAGUUUUCUCAAGUUCACUUUUAACACCCAGCAACAGAGGGUGAGAGCUUCUGGUGCUCAGAAGGCACAGAUUCCAUCUUAUCUGGUUUGCCAGUCUGAGUAUAUUCCAAGGUGAUGAAUAUCAAGGGACUGGUAACUGCUGUGUAAAUGAGUCAUCUGAAGAAUUAAAAAUCAGGUGCUUGGAACAACUUUGCUGCUGAGCUUCAGGGAUGAAGAGGAGAAACUUUCUGCCUGAUGCAGUUAAAUCCAGAGUCUCCAGGGAUUACAAAAUCUGUACAAAAACAUGAAAGGGAGAGGAAAUAUAUAAUUUUUAAGGAAAUAAAAUCAGACAGACCACCUUUACCCUUUUCCACUCAAACAAGAGAGCAUACAUGUAAGCCCAGUUGGUUUUUUUACACAGAAUAUUAUAGGUGGAAGUGAUUUUUCAGCCAAGUAAAAAUCUUGUUUAGGAGACAGAAAUCAAUGUUAUGUACAACCUGUGGACCUUUUUUUUUAUAGAUUUUGCUGUGUAGAAGGGCAGCUGGUACUGGGAAGGGCACUGCAGCACCCAAAGGAAUCCAUCAGACUUUCUCAAAAGUUGCAAAGUCAAGGCAAUCAGGCUGAUUACAAAGAAAGGAAUUUUAUCAUCUAUUUUUAUUCUGUUCACCUAUGACAGCAGACAUGAAAACAGUCUCUGACCUGUAAAGUUUCUACCUAGUGUGAAUGAAAUCCUUCAGCUGAGACACAAGAGCCCUUUUUGAAGAAGAAAUGUUACAGUCUCAUCAGCCUGGUGGGAAUUUGGCAUCCUACUCCCCUGAACAAUAUAAAAAAUCUCAACCUGAGACCCACUCAGAUAUAAAUCUAACAGCACCCAAAUAUUUCCCAUCGUGGAAAGCCCUGGAGAUGCCAGCAUGGACAACAGCAGAUGAAGCAGAAGGACCAUCACCAUAACCAGUCAAAGCCAUGAGCACAAAAGUUAAUUAAUACAGUGCUUUAAUCAAGAGAAGCUUUACACCACAAAGGGCAUGCAAAGAAAGGCUGUGAGCUUUCCUUCUGCAGAGGAAAAGCAGCUCUGGAAUUAAACAGAUAGGCUCAGGCUCCUUGCACAGUAAAUCUCUCCUAAAUCCUUUCACCCCUCUCCAGGGGUGGGAGUGGGAGGUGCAGGACAGGGGAGGGUUAGCCAAGACUUCCACUGCUCCUGAGGGAACUGGGAUUGCUACAGCUGCUAAAACGAGGAGCAGGAUUUAUGCUGCAUGUUUGGAAUAGCACUCGUGUUAAGCAAUAUAUACUUCUUAAAUUAUGUGCUUUUUCUACUCUAGUGCAUAUGGCAUGGCUAUACCAUUUCUGGAGUAAGGAAAAAAAACAAAACACACUUUAGCUAUUUUAGAUAAAUUCACGCAAGAUUUCUGCACCACGUCCCACUGAAUUUACAGUGUUAGUUGUGUCUGAGGUUUCUGGCUGAUCUCUUGUUUACCCUUUUGAUAACAAUGCCAGGCACUUCCUAAAGCUGCACUGCAUCCAGUAAGGAGUUGAUGGGAAUUUGCUGAUUUACACCAGCUGUGACUUCAUGCAGGCAUUCAGUGGAAAUAUUAUGUGUUUCUGGUGGUGGAAAAAAUAAUCUCAGUGCUGAAUAUGUCUUAUUAUUCAGUAGCCUGUCUGUAUAUAGAAAAACAUGAUGUCCUGUUGCUCUUUACACUUUGAAGAAACUACAGGUGACUUAAGGGGCAAAAAGUUCCUCAGUCCCUCCAAGAAAAGCCAUGGGAGUCAGCUAGUAUGUUCUUCCUUAAAAUGUUUUAAAAAUAAUGCAUUAAGCGAUACAGAAUCCAUAGGUGAAUUUAAGUUAUGAGGUUAUAGCUGUCUUUAUGUAAUUCAGGUUAUUUAUACCAAGUUUAAUAUAGCCACGGUUUCAAUCACUGUUAUUUUACCAUAUUUAUUUAAAAAUUAAAGAAUGUCUUAGGUUGCCUGCCAGCUGUAUUACAGCCACAUCAGUUAUCGUGCAAGAGAUCAGUCAUUCAAAUUCAGUGCAUGACAAAGUGUAGGAAAAAAAAAAUAUUCCCAUAAAUGCAAACACUAUGAGGAAAGUGCUUUAUAUGUUGUGAGCCACAGAGUCAGCUGGCUGUUUUAACUGAGACACUCACUGCUCUCCCCAAGUUUAUAAAAAGCAUCAUGAAGGAUGUGUUUCAUGUUCUAAACUACCCCGAGAACACAAUUUAAACAUUCCAAAAUUCACAUGUUCAUUUACGCAUCCUGAGAGAAUAUAAUGCUAACGUUCAGAUUUUGGAAGUCUGUAAAAUCCCAUACUGUCUCGAUGGGAACAAUUAUGGUGAAAGCAAAGCAACAGCAAAAAAACUGACUCCCAAAGUCAUGGGUGACAGCAGAAGUCCCAGAGCUCCGCCAUGCACCAGAGCAGGAGGUGCCACCUCGCUCACCCAACUCCUUCAAGAAGGGCUCCUGGGUAAAAACUUGGUUUCUGUGACAGGUCAGCUUGGUUUUAGUGCCAUGCUGCUGGGGAGUUGCCUUUCAGGCUGAUCAGGGAGACAGGAAUAAACAGUGAGGGAGAAUAAGGAGACACAAUCCUAUUAGUCAGGCGGGAGGUGAUGUCAAAGGCAAGUUUCAAUUACAGCGGGAUUAUUAACGGUGAUGGUGUCAACCUGAGACAAACACACUCAGCCCAGCAGCAGACAUGCAAAUGCUCUCAGUCUGCCUCUAGACGUGCUAAUUUCAGCUGAGGAGUCACUGAAAGGACGUGCUGGGCACAGCAUGCCCAGAGGAACCAGUCAGAGCCCUCAGUGGACUGGGGCACUCACAGUGCAGAUCGUGGGGAAGCCAACACGGUUUCCCUGGCUCAGCAGUGCUGAGGGCAUCACCAAGGGGUGAGCCAGGAGCUGACCAGCCCUUUGUAGCCUGGGAAUGGUCACUGUGCAUAAAUCAGGGCAGGAGUCACAAGGCUGUGGUCUGUCUAAAAUUGCACAGAAUCACAGGAUGGUUUGGGUUGGGAAGGACCUAAAAUCCCACCCAGUCCAUCCCUGUCGUGGCAGAGACACCUUCCACUGUCCUGCUCCCAGCCCCGUCCAACCUGGCCCUGGGCACUGCCAGGGAUCCAGGGGCAGCCCCAGCAGCUCUGGGCACCCUGUGCCAGGGCCUCCCACCCUAACAGGGAGGAAUUUCAGUCACCAAACAUGAGUUUGGACCAAAGGAAUACAGAAAGCUGAAAGCACUGCCUGCUAUACACUGAUAUAAGCCAUGGGUGUCUAUUUCUCUCAUUGCUCCUUUGUGGUUAUUUCUCCUCCAUCUGACAAAAUUUUAUCAACUGACAAAAUCACCAUUAACCAAACACCUAAAUACUCUAAGAAGACUUCAUGGUUCUCCUUUUUGGCUGAUUUCUAAGAAUUGCAUUUCUGCUGCACAGGACUUGAAUACAGAAGUCUGUAAUUCUUGGUGUUUUCCAUAAAUAAUUAUCACCAAAAAAACCCAACAACAAAACCAACAAAAACAGCAACCAAAAACAAAUAAAACAAACAAAACCCCAAAAAACAGAGCAUUAGGGGCUCUUUGAGAAACACUGUAUAUUUGAAAAACACAAAUUUAUGCAGAGUAAUAAGGUUCCAUUUAUGUGUAAUGCAGAUAUUGUUGUACAAAAUUAUAUAUAAAACCAGCCCAAGGCCUAACAAACUUACAUAACCAGCUUUGAUAAAUUGGUGUUUAAAAGGACACUUGUGAGAUUGAGACAACAUAAAAAUAAAAAAAAAAAAAGGUUGAGAUCAUUCAACUGAAAAAUGUCAUUUAGAUCCUGUCUAAAAUGUAGGAACUUUAUGAGUCAGGAAGACAGAAAGGAAUCUACACCUACCUAGCAAAGCUCAGUUGAACAACAAUCUAAAAUCAGUGUAAUUAUUACAAUAAUUAAAAAUAAAAACCACACUUCUGACAGUUUAAUUUCUAUCCUUUGUGGAUCCUGUGUAGGGGGAUGUUAUUCUGCCAUUUUCAGUUCCAUCUCUCCCAUCAACACUGUGCAUUCAGCUGCCUGUCUUAAGAUUGCAGGAAAACCUAGAGAAUUCUCUUUUUAAGUAAUAUCUUUAAUUCAGUCAAUGUUAUAGGUUGGAGAGCUAGAAUUGAUAGCUGAUUCUGUCUUGUUUUGUCAAUAAAUGAUGCAGCUUUUGUUUCUGAAGGCAUAUUCUUUUUAAUAAAAAAAAAUAAUCUAAUAACACAGAGGUGUUCUAGAUUAUGUCAUCUAUUUGUAGGGAGUU